rnacentral:rRNA from 1 species
UACAGAGGUCCCGAGCGUUGUUCGGAUUCACUGGGCGUAAAGGGUGCGUAGGUGGCAUGUUAAGUUUGAUGUGAAAGCUCAGGGCUCAACCCUGAAAUGGCAUUGAAUACUAGCGUGCUGGAGGUUUGGAGGGGGGACUGGAAUUCUCGGUGUAGCAGUGAAAUGCGUAGAUAUCGAGAGGAACACCAGUGGCGAAGGCGAGUCCCUGGACCGGCAUUGACGCUGAGGAGCGAAAGCUAGGGGAGCAAACGGG